GGGCAGGUAGUUCAGUGGUUAGAACGCUGCUCUGAUAAAGCAGAGGUCGGAGGUUCGAUUCCUCCCCUGCCCAC
rnacentral:tRNA from 1 species